rnacentral:SRP_RNA from 1 species
CCGCACUAGACGGGGCGGCAGCGGUGCCUUGUACCUGCAAUCCGCUACAGCAGGGUGGAAUCCCGGGGGCUGAGGGGGGAUUUGACCCACGUUUGCAAUGGCUUUGGUGGUGAUGACCGAUUGGUACUGCGCAACGGAGGACUGUGAACCAUGUCAGGCGGGGAACCGAGCAGCAUUAAACAGAACCCUCUGUGUGCCGCAGAGUUGCCGGUUGCGAGCCGCAAAGGCUGAGAGGCUGUGGGGCCUGUCCCUUCAAACCCCUGGUGUGCGG